rnacentral:rRNA from 1 species
UGGGGAAUCUUCCGCAAUGGGCGAAAGCCUGACGGAGCAACGCCGCGUGGGGGACGAAGGCCUUCGGGUCGUAAACCCCUGUCAUGGGGAAAGAAGGGCGCCGGGGUGAACAGCCCCGGUGCUUGACGGUACCCCAGGAGGAAGCCACGGCCAACUCCGUGCCAGCAGCCGCGGUAAUACGGAGGUGGCAAGCGUUGUUCGGAAUUACUGGGCGUAAAGGGCGCGUAGGCGGGGCGACAAGUCGGGUGUGAAAUCCCUCGGCUCAACCGAGGAACUGCGCCCGAAACUGUCGCUCUUGAGUCCCGGAGAGGAAGAUGGAAUUCCCGGUGUAGCGGUGAAAUGUGUAGAGAUCGGGAGGAACACCGGUGGCGAAGGCGGUCUUCUGGACGGUGACUGACGCUGAGGCGCGAAAGCGUGGGGAGCAAACGGG